AAAAAUGGCGCACAAACCACAAUUUGAAAUUUAAAAACAGCUAAUCUUGGAGCCAAUUUGCCAAACACUUAGCCUAUAAAUAUGAAAUAAUUUCAGACCAAACUUCACUCAGCAAACUCUUCUCUCUCUCUCUCUCUCUCUCUCUCUCUCUAUUUUAUGGUUUUUAUUCUCUCUCCCUCUCUAUUUUAUGGUUUUUAUGUUUCUAUGUGGUACUCUCAUUUUUAUUUUGUUUAGUUUUUUUUGCUAUUCACUAUUAGGUACUCUCAUUUUU
rnacentral:lncRNA from 1 species